GGACUACUGGGGUAUCUAAUCCUGUUCGCUCCCCACGCUUUCGCUCCUCAGCGUCAGUGCCGGCCCAGCCCACCGCCUUCGCCACCGGUGUUCUUCCUGAUAUCUGCGCAUUUCACCGCUACACCAGGAGUUCCGUGGGCCCCUACCGGACUCUAGCCAUGACAGUAUCGGAUGGCGACUCCAGGUUGAGCCUGGAGGUUUCACAUCCGACUUAUCAAGCCGCCUACGAGCUCUUUACGCCCAAUGAAUCCGGACAACGCUCGCUCCCUACGUAUUACCGCGGCUGCUGGCAC
rnacentral:rRNA from 1 species